rnacentral:lncRNA from 1 species
AAUAAACUUGAAUAAAUAAAUGAAUAAAAAAAAUUCAUGAAUAAUUUAAUAAAUAAAUAAAACAAAUAUGACAAUGAAUACAAUAAAAGAAUAUAAAAAUAAUUAUUUUAGAAAACCAAAGAUAAACAAAAAAUAAAAAAAAUAUAUACGUAAAAAUAAAUAAUCAAUAAACACGGAGCCACCAAAAGUAGGAACAGGAGGAAAGCCAGACCAAGCAAACAGCAGUGAGCGGCAGCAACGUUGUACUGGUACACCAGCAGCCAAGUGAAGAGCGGUUAACCCCCCCCCCCCUUUUUUGGACGAUAAAUGCAUUUGAAUGGGAACAUGUAGUUGGACCACCCCCGUUGUCCUGGGUUAGGAC